rnacentral:rRNA from 1 species
AUACAUGCAAGUCGAGCGAAUGGAUUAAGAGCUUGCUCUUAUGAAGUUAGCGGCGGACGGGUGAGUAACACGUGGGUAACCUGCCCAUAAGACUGGGAUAACUCCGGGAAACCGGGGCUAAUACCGGAUAACAUUUUGAACCGCAUGGUUCGAAAUUGAAAGGCGGCUUCGGCUGUCACUUAUGGAUGGACCCGCGUCGCAUUAGCUAGUUGGUGAGGUAACGGCUCACCAAGGCAACGAUGCGUAGCCGACCUGANAGGGUGAUCGGCCACACUGGGACUGANACACGGCCCAGACUCCUACGGGAGGCAGCAGUAGGGAAUCUUCCGCAAUGGACGAAAGUCUGACGGAGCAACGCCGCGUGAGUGAUGAAGGCUUUCGGGUCGUAAAACUCUGUUGUUAGGGAAGAACAAGUGCUAGUUGAAUAANCUGGCACCUUGACGGUACCUAACCANAAAGCCACGGCUANCUAC